GUAUCAGAGUAAGUAUGCACAUCAUAUAGACAUAUACACGAUGCAAACUUUUAAGCAACCCUCCAUUUUUUGUUCACUCUACUCAAUAAAGAUAAGUCAAACUACAAAUAUAAAGGUAUUCAUCGAGUGAAAAUUCUCCCCUUUUAUCUUUGUCAAUCAUUGCAAUAAACAAUUGUAAAUAAGUUCCUGAAUAAGCUUCAUUGAUGUCGGAAAUCCAUUCAUACAAGGGCUAAUCAUCCUAAAUAUCAAAACGGUGGAAAGGCAUAGUUACCUUCUUCAAGCUUAUAUUCUAAUACCUGAAUAUUAACCAAUCAAUGAAGACAAAUGUAGAAUUGGCAAAAAUGUUGCCCAGAAACACGGAAGAGCUAGUAAAAACAAUGGUACACCAAAAAAAAGACCUUUUUUACGAUAAACAUGAAUUGGAUAUGACUUACUUGCGACGUAUAGGUUUCUCUUUGUAAUUCUUCUUCGAGGCAGUCAUUGGUGUAGUGUGAUUUUGUCCGGGGUUGAAAUCAAGCUGAAAUUCCCAAUUCGUUCGAAAACUCCUGGCUUACCGGAGAUACGGCGAGGGAGGAACGGCGGUGACAAAGUGAGCUCGGAAGCGGAUCAGUUUGCGAUGGCGAGGCCCCGAGCAGAGAUUCCACGGCGAGGCUCCGGGCAGAGAUUAACGGAGGAGAGGACGCGCUUGAAAAGGAUCGAGCAACCGUUCGCGUGACGUGGAGGAAAAGAGGAUCGAGGACGACGACGACGGUACCCUCUGUCACUGCCGACGACGACGAUGACGGAGGCGGGCUUCACGACGAACACAGAGACGGUGAGGAGGAGAAGAGUGGCGGCGGCUGGGGGGUGACGGUGGCAGGUGGGGCUUCGCGUUGAGCACAGAGACGGUGAGGAAGAGAAGC